AUUGAACGCUGGCGGCAGGCCUAACACAUGCAAGUCGAACGAGUGGCGGACGGGUGAGUAAUGUCUGGGAAACUGCCCGAUGGAGGGGGAUAACUACUGGAAACGGUAGCUAAUACCGCAUCACAUCGGAUGUGCCCAGAUGGGAUUAGCUAGUAGGUGGGGUAACGGCUCACCUAGGCGACGAUCCCUAGCUGGUCUGAGAGGAUGACCAGCCACACUGGAACGGAGACACGGUCCAGACUCCUACGGGAGGCAGCAUUUGUGAAGAUUGCACAAUGGGCGCAAGCCUGCUGCAGCCAUUCCGCGUGUAUGAAGAAGGCCUUCGGGUUGUAAAGUACUUUAAGCGAGGAGGCGUUACUCGCAGAAGAAGCACAUGCGAACUCCGUGCCAGCAGCCGCGGUAAUUC
rnacentral:rRNA from 1 species